rnacentral:tRNA from 1 species
GGGCACUUAGCUCAGUUGGUCAGAGCGCUCGGCUUACACCCGGGAGGUCGGGGGUUCGAGCCCCUCAGUGCCCA